UACGGGGGGGGCAAGCGUUGUUCGGAAUUACUGGGCGUAAAGGGCUCGUAGGCGGCCAACUAAGUCAGACGUUGAAAUCCCUCGGCUUAACCGGGGAACUGCGUCUGAUACUGGUUGGCUUGAGUGUGGGAGAGGGAUGCGGAAUUCCAGGUGUAGCGGUGAAAUGCGUAGAUAUCUGGAGGAACACCGGUGGCGAAGGCGGCAUCCUGGACCAUUACUGACGCUGAGGAGCGAAAGCCAGGGGAGCAAACGGG
rnacentral:rRNA from 1 species